GCCAUUGCCUCGCCGUCUUUGGUGCUACUUACAUCGAAACAGGGAUCCACUCGUAUGUGCCGACCGCUGUCAGCACCCCUCACUCCUGUCCCGGUCUGGUCAGAUGGACUUCAGCUCUUUCAAGCCUUCAUCUCCUCCUCUGUGCUUCCUGGGUCAGAAUGCCCUGCUGCUCUUGGAACCUUUGGCCUCCUCUGUGAAAUCCACCAGGCCAUGUUGAAUUUGAAGCUGCCAUAAAAUCUGUGUUAUCUACACAGGCCUUGGCCCUUUGGCCGUGCUGUUGGAGGAGCAUGAGCAAUGAUGCUGUUUAUACUUCGGGCUAUAAAAGCUGGGAGGAGGAAACUGUCGGGUCAAAGUCGCUUGGGAGGGGAGCUGCAUCGGGUACUAAAUCGAGAUCUUCAGUUGAGCUCUGUGCUUUCUUCUCUCUCUCUUUGAAGGAAACCGGACAUGUGAGCUGAUCUUCCAACAGCCAUCAUCAUCAUCAGUGACCCUUCUGGUUGUUGCUGGAUGUAACAGCAACUCCAUGUGGAAGCUGUGUUUGUUCCAGUGGAGGUGCUGUUACCUGCAGAGACCAACCGAUUAACAAAGGUUGCUGUUGACGAGUGGACAGCGGUUUUACGUGCGAGCAGCUGAAAGCUGGUAGGGCACAAGGUGAUGACCUAUGAAUUGACAGCCAGGGAUUUCAACCAUCUGCCUGUCAGUUCUGUAGGCCACUGCUGCGUUUGUUCCUCUGAGCGUGCACAGAUUUGAUUUCAUAAAGCUGCAAAAGAUUGAUUUGAACCUGACUUUUUUAUUUUUGUGAAUUAACAAUAAAUAAAAUACAAGUUCA